AUGGCUUCAGCUGCAGUGGAGACAAGUCAAAUUAUUUUAACGAUUUUCACCUGUUGUCACUAUGAAAUAUUUGAAUGCAGGAUGCAUAUGGGAGAAAUUCACAGAACCCCUGACCUCUGUGUCCUUGUGUGCUGCCAAAUCCUGAGAACACCACGGUCACCAUCUUCAUCCACCCAUGAGUCAGAGGAGAAUGCCAGCUCUUCAGACAAUGGAAAGUUUCAUAGGAGAACAAAAAAAGCUCUCACAAGUUUUUCUGGAAGCAACAAGAAAUUACUAUCUCAAAACAUAAUGUAACACACAAGGCAAAUUGUUUUCCUUCUCUUCUGUAAUGUGACACAAUAAAAGGAAUUAUCAUAAAACAAAUGAUUAAUUAAAAUCCAUAGAAUUUAGUAGAGAUGCUGUAGGCUGUUCAGGAAGGUCUGAGGACUGGGUUCAUCCUCCCCAGCAUACCGAUCAAGAGUACAGAUACAUUUCUAUGGCUGAGAUAGUUUUGAAGCAGACAGAGAAGAGCAGGUCACAGAACUGCUCCCCACAAUUCUUGCUGGCCACAGAUGGAAUGUCUGAUGAGAUGAACUCUGUCUUAAAUGCUUAAGUCAGGCUUUGUGAAAGUUUGAGAGGCCUGGGAGCUAAAAGGUCUGAAGAGCUUGUCCUGAAAGGAAGAUUAUAAAGAGGAAUGUGACAUGCGCAGCUGGGGAAUUGGAAGAAGGAAGAUCUAAGGUGAGGAGUGUGGCAGGGGGACGCUCUUGACAAAAGGAAAGCUGGAGACUGUUUUAGUUUCUGCUGAGGGCUGUAGGACAAGAAUAGGAUUUGGAAAGUUUCACAGGAGAACAAAAAAAGCUCUCACAAAUUCUUCUGGAAGCAACAAGAAAUUACUAUCUCAAAACAUAAUGCAACACACAAGGGAAAUUGUUUUCCUUCUCUUCUGUAACAUGACCCAAUAAAACGAAUUAUCAUAAAAGGUGCUGAAAGGAGUUGGUCUCCUUUGGGUAAGAUGAGAGAAUUGCAAGUAACUCUUAUGAAGUUUGAAGUAAUGUUUGUGUUUGAAGGACACGUAAGAAAAAGGAAAGACACAAAACCAUCUGGGUAGUGUUAUGUGUUGUGAAUGCUGCUGAUCACUAAAAGCCUGCUGAGAAAACAGUUGUUCCUGAUCAGUGUGCUACAGUGAAUUACAGGGAUGCCACAGGGAGUGUUUGUCACAGGUAAGGUGUUUUGAUUUAUAUGCAGGAAUGGCAAUGAAAAUCUGUGUCAUAGGCUUUAAAUAUUUCCAUUUUAAGGUUGAUCAAUCUGAAUUAGACCUAAUAUACUGGACACUGAGAAAAAGCUAUGUCAUGACACAGCCACAGCAGUUUUCUGUUUAAAGUGAUUUGAUUUUGCUCACCUUCUUCCACAUGUACUGCUAAUUACAUGAAUGAAAACCAGUUUCUACUUCUUAUUUCUGAUCAGACUCUUUCUAUUGUCCUUCCUGUGGCUCCUAUUUUUGCAGCCUUGGUUUAUGGUAGGUUUGGUACACAGUGGUUGCAAAGACAAAUCAUUGUGCCAAGAAAUGUAUUUUAGACUUUAAAACAUAUAGUCAGAGAAUCACAGAAUCAUAGAAUGGUUUGAGUUGGAAGGGACCUUAAAGAUCCUCUACUAAAGAACAGUGGAUAGGUAUUAUUAAUAGAGAAAUAAAAAACUAAGAAGCAUGUUGUAGCUCCAGCUGUGUCCACCACUCCAAAUUACUAGGGCUUUUCCAAAGAAUUCGUUGCAAUUAGUUUAGCAUCAGAUCCCUAUUUAGCUUGUGCACAAAGCUUCUGAUGACUAAUCAUUAAAAAUGACUAACAAUGGCCAUGCUGUUUAUUUGUUACAACACUUCAGCAAAAAGAAGGCUUCUGCAAGAGCACAGUGGCAAUGCCAGCACAAGACCCCAAAACAUGUAUCCAGCAGAUAAAAAACUUGACUUCUCAGCAAAAUAUUAAUCAAAGUAUUAUGCCAAGUCUCUGGAAACAUUUGAGGCAGCACUUAGCACAGUGAUCCAUGUUCAGCCUUAGAAAGGCAGCACAUUACUCUCUAGAGGCAAAGGGUUCAUGCUCCAGUCAUGGGAAAUCAAUUGCUAUAGAUAAUUAAUUAUUUUAUCACAAGCAUUAUCUUCCAAACAACUGCUACUUCAAUUUUUUUGCCUUUUAGCUGAAAGGAAUGUUAAAGCUCAGGCAAAAGUAGCUCUGAGUUUUGUUUCCUUUGGUCUCAUAGAGUUCUGAGUUUUUCCAGUGGUAGAAGAAAG
rnacentral:lncRNA from 13 species